AUAUUAUUAAAUUAAUAGACUAAAUAAAUUAUCAUUAAACUAUAACCUUUAUAUUAUGUGAUUUGGCCUAAUCUCUAAUUAUGAUUAUGGUCUAAUCUCUUGGAAUUUUACUUGGUAACAAACAUAUUGAAGUUUUUAGUUAAGGUCUUUCCAGCAGAUUUUGUCAAAACGUUAAUCGUAUCAUGGCAAGGUACAAUGCAUGCUUUUUAUUCUUUUCACUUUAUGAUUAUGCUAUUAAUUCAUGUGUAGCUCCACCUUAAUUUUUGUGUUAGUUUUAAAGUUGCAAUUUAACUUAUUAUAUUUGUACUAUAAAUUCUUUGUUUUCCUUUAUUUUUUUUACUUCAAUGAGUUUCUAGUAAAAUGCUUAGAGAAUUACUUCUAAGACAUAGAACUAUUUCCUAACCUAACUACAAGGCUAUGAAAGUCCUUUUCGUUGCCCAUUCCCGUUAGAUUUUAUAAUACCCUUCCUCCUCUAUUUUUGUUAUCUUCACUUCGCGACCGUUGAUAGAUUUUUCUCCUAAAAAAUUUAAUAAUUAUUGACUAGGUUUUGUAAUAUGUCAAAGGAUUGGAUGGAUCUACCAAGGUAUAGCAAAAAGUAUAUCAAUGGUGUUAAUAGUUUCUUAGACUUUGCAUACUCUGAGGGAGAACCGGAUGGACAACAAAUCCAAUGGCCUUGUAAGAGGUGUUGCAACAUUGAGUGGUAUAGAAGAGAUGUUGUAUUUGACCAUUUAGUAGCCGAUGGAUUUGUUAAGGGGUACAGAACAUGGAUUAAUCAUGGGAAAUGGACAAUCCCGAUGGUGGUUGGUAAUGAUACAGAUGACGAAGAAGGUGCACGCGAUGACAUUGAAGGACUGCUUAAUGAUGCAUUCGGAGAUGUGCCUCACGCUAAGGGUGUUAUUAUAGGUCAAAAUGAAGAGGCUAAAAGGUUUUACAAUUUAAUAGAGGGGGCAAGUCAAGAGUUGUACCCGGGUUGCAAGAAAUUUUCUACAUUAUCUUUUAUCAUCCGUCUAUACUUGUUAAAGUGUUUUCACGGGUGGAGGAAUGCCUCCUUCACUUCCCUUCUUGAGCUAUUGAAAGAUGCAAUGCCUGACAUUAACAUACCUUCAUCUUUCAAUAAGACGAAGGCUAUAAUAAGAGAUUUAGGUCUCGAUUAUAAAAAAAUUGAUGCUUGUCCUAAUGAUUGCCUCCUAUAUAAGAAAGAACUAAAGGAUGAAAAAUAAUGUCGUGUCUGUGGAACUUUUCGAUAUACUGAAAAUACUAGUGAUAAUAGCGAGAACAACCUCACAAGAAAGGUUGUCCUAUUCCUGCAAAGACUUUGAGAUACUUUCUUAUAAUUCCAAGACUUUAAAGAUUAUUUAUGUGCUUAAAGAUGGCAGCUAGUCUGAGGUGGCGCGAUGAGGAGUGCGUUAAAGAUGGGAUGUUAAAGCAUCCUGCUAAUGGCCUGGCAUGGAAGAACUUUGAUGAAAUUUAUGAAGACUUUGCAAAAGAAUCAUGCAAUAUUAGACUAGGCUUGUCAAGUGAUAGGUUCAACCCAUUUCGUAGCAUGAACAUUGCAUGGACCCGUGAUGUUGAUGGUAUACAACUUGCCUCCAUGGAUGUGCAUAAAACUCGAAUAUUGCAUGCUUUCUUUACUUAUUCCUGGGCCACAAUCACCUGGUGAAGAUAUUGAUGUGUAUCUACAACCGUUGAUAUAAUACUUGAGUUAUUGUGGAAAAUAGGGGUCAAAACUUAUGAUGCGUCAAAGAAUGAAACCUUUCAAAUGCGGACAGCUCUUUUGUGGACAAUCAAUGAUUUUUCUGCAUAUGCUAUGUUGUCUGGGUGGAGUACAAAAGAAAAAUUGGCUUGAACUUGUUGUAACAAAAAUAUCUCUUAUCUACAACUAAAAUAUAGUCAGAAGACAGUUUAUAUGGAUCAUCGUGUCUUUUUACUUAUGGAUCAUCCAUGGAGAACCAAUACAAGGUCUUUUAAUGGGAAGCACGAAUUAAGACCCCCUCCACCUGUUAUAGAAGGAACGAAAAUUUUUGAGAUGCUACAAAAUAUUAAGAAUAUUUUUGGGAAGAAGCAAAGUACAUCAAAUAGUUUCCCAUAGAAUUGGAAAAAAAGAUCAAUUUUCUUUGAAUUGCCUUACUGGCAUAAGAACCCGCUGCGUCACAACUUAGAUUUCAUGCACAUAGAGAAGAACAUACUUGACAGUGUAAUUGAAACUCUCUUGGAUAUCCCAGGCAAGACAAAGGACCAUUUGAAUGCUCGAUAUGACUUAAAAGAUUUGGAGAUUUGGAAAAAUCUUCAACCAAAGGAGUUGAAUAAUGGCAAGAGAACAAAGUUGGCAAAGGCAUGCUUUUCUAUGAUUGCUGCAGAGAAGUCAAUUUUUGUGAUAUUUUGAAGACAACAAAACUACCUGAUAGUAGUACUUUGAAUAUAUCAUGUUGUGUACAUCUAGGAGAAAGAAAAGUUUCUGAGUAUAAGUCCCACGAUGCUCGCUUUAUGCUACACUAUUUACUACCAAUACCGAUUAAAAGCAUCCUUCCUGAUCAUGUGGCCAUUCCGUUGAUUCGACUAAUUUCCUUUUUUCGUCGCUUAUGCAAAAAAUUCAUCACACUGGAAGAGAUAGAUCGACUGGAGUUAAGGAUUGUGGAAACAUUAUGCCACCUUGAGAGGAUCUUUCCCCCUAGUUUUUUUUGACAUAAUGGUUCAUCUUCCCAAUCAUUAGCAAAUGAGGUGAGAUUGGGUGGUCCGGUGUAGUUUCAUUGGAUGUAUCCUCCAGAAAGGUACAUGUGUACAUUAAAGUCAUAUGUACGCAACAAAAGUUGCCCCAAAGGUUCUAUUGCAGAGGCAUAGCUGGCUGAAGAGUGCUUAACUUUCUGCUUAAGAUAAUUGCAUGGAGGUGUGUGAACAAGACUUAAUAAGCGACCUCAAAAUGAUGAUGAUCCUAACGAAGACGAAAUUGUAACAUCAAAGUUAUUUUCUAACAAAGGUCGUUCAUUUGGAAUGGAAAAUGGAGAACCAAUUAAUCUCGUGACAUAUCAAGUGCUCAAGUCCAUGUGUAUGUAUUACACAAUUGUGAAGAAGUUGUAGAUUAUGUUAGGUAACUUAACACAACUUAUGUUUAUUCACUAAAUCAAGUGCAUUUAUAUUUUUUUCAAUCAAACAUAACUAUUAUUAACUAUAGAGAGCAUGAGGAUGAGGUUAACAAUCAGCGGGAAAUAAAAUGGAGAAAAGCAAAAGUUCACAGUAAAACCUUCUCGCAAUGGUUUGAAACUCAUGCGAGGGAUCCAAAUGUGCCUAUUUGGCUAAAAGAAUUAUCUCGAGGUUCAAGCUCUGUUGCAAGAAGAUUUUCUGGAUAUAUAAUUAAUGGAUACAGAUUUUCCACUGUGGAGCGUAAGGCAAGGAGAAAAACACAAAAUAGUGGUAUCACAUUAACUGCUUUAACUUCAAGCUUUGCAAGUGCUAAAGAUAAAAGUCCAAUAAUUCAAGACACUGUAGCCUAUUAUGGUAGGUUGUUUGAGAUAGAAGAGUUAGACUAUUUUGGGCAUUUUAAAGUUGUAUUAUUUCGGUAUGAGUGGUAUGAUGCUGUGAGAGAUAAGUAUGGUCUUACAUUUGUUCACUUCAAUAAUUAAUGCUACCAGAAUGAACCUUUCAUACUAGCAUCUCAAGUUAUGUGCAGGAUCCAUAUGAACAUAACAGAUGUUAUGUUAUGAAAAUUGUCCUAAGAGACUUAUUUAAAACAAGUGACGAAUCUGAGUCUGAGGCCCGUAAACCUUCUAUAGUGAACAACACGAGCAUAUAACGAGCCUUGCUAUACCAGCUGAUGAUGGUGAACUUACUUUGGAGAGGAAUGAUCUACGACCUACGGUUAUUAAAACGGUUCCCCAAGUGCUUUCGCCCAAGAAUAUGAGGCAAAUUUCAUUGGAGAUUCUAAUUCUGAUGGGUCAUCCUAAGCAAUUUAUUGCUUAACAUAUGUAUACCUAAGUUUUCUUCUUCACCUUUUUAUUUGUAAGUCAUAUUUUUGUUUUAAUUUCUCAUUUCGUUAGUUUUUUCUUAUAUGAUAUGUCACUUUAUGGCUUAUAUUAACUCGAGUUAACUAAUUUAUUUGUGUAAGAAUAAAGAAUUUAUUGAUCUUAAAGCAACAUCAAGUAAGAAUUUGCUUCGACAAUUUGAAGCCAAGGGACAAAAGAUUGUAAAUAAAUGCUAGCAAUAUGAGAUACAAGGUGCAGCACCUAAUGACAAGGAGGACACUAUGCCAAGGUUGGAUGUAGUCAAAGGUAAAAAAGAGUUGAGUGCAACCAAAGGAGUGAAGAAAUCUACCUCAAAGAAGCUGGAUUUUACUCAUUUACAAAGCACACUCGAUACAAUCAGCAAAAGGACAAAUUUCACGCCUAAAACCUUGGAAGUACAGCCGAGCAUUCCUGUGGAAUAGCCAGAAAAUAAAAAAAGAAAGAAUCCCUUGACUGUGACUAUGGCUGAGAAAAAGAAGCAUGGAGUGCAAGGUGAACCGUCAACACAAGGCUUGAAAAAUUCUAAGCUUACAAAGAUGGAUGCAGAUGAACUUAAAAGGAAGCUCGACGCAAUUCGUAAUAUGAAUAAUAGUGUGCCAACAAGUGUAAGCUAAGAGCGGAGUUGUGCAAAUUCUACUCAGCCCAAAAUCAACCAAGGGCAGCAGCAGAUCAUUCGAGUCACACAUGAUAUGACUCAAAAAAGGCAACGUGACACUACUUUGCCUAGUUCAAACACUACCCCACAAGCUGAAGAUUUAAUGUCAGAGCAAGAUGAAUCAAGAAAGGAAAAGAGCAAGCCAAGGUAAGAUUAAGCGAUUCGGGAUGCUUAGAAGCAGUUCAAGGGAAAGAUUAAGCAAAAGCACUUUGUUCCCUUUGAUACUAUCGAAGAUAUGGUGAAAAAUCGACUAACACAAGUACCAGAAAGUCAAUUCAUAAAAUUGAUCUAUUAUUGGAGUCAUCCUACAAUUCAGUCAAUAAGUGAAAAGAAUAAGAAACAUAAAGAACAACAAAAGUUUCAACAUCGCAAUCAAUUUCGGAAGAGUACGAGUGGCUCUGCGCGCAACAAAGGGAACAAAUGAGAAACCAAAAAGGUUUGAAAUGUUCAUUGCUACUCGAACAAGUCAGAAAAGGAAGGAAGUUGAUUAGGAAACACAAGAUGCAAUUGAAGACUUCCAAAAUCGGCAAGCUGCUGGUGAAACAGAUGAGUAAGCUUUUGAGUCUUUAUUUGAAAAAGAACAACCAGGUCGGGUUAGGUGCUAUGGAAGAUCUGUUACACGACGUGACUUAAAAUAGCAUGCAGAAAUUUCUAAAAUCAAGCAGCAGCACCAAGAGGAAGCCACAUCUUUGAAGGUUGAACUUGGAGACAUGAAGCCCAAACAGCAGCACCAAGAGGAUGAGCUUCAUGGAUUGCAAAACAUGAUUAAGUUACUAGUUCAGCCAUCUGAACCUGAAACGAGGGCAGAAGAAAUUGAAGCUUUGUUACAAAAUGCCCAACACUCUCUAAUUGAUGUGAAUAGCGCUCAUGAAUCAACUCAUAUUCCGAACAUAGAUAUGGAUAAUUCUGGAGAUGUGAAGAAAGAUUGAGAUGUUUAUCAUGAUGGUUUAUUAGUAAAGAUGGAGUGUUGAAAAUUGAAAGAUGUAUGGUUGAUGAUGAUGUCUUUUAUUAGAAGAUACAUUUGUAUGAUAUAAUAUUUUGGUUUUUUCUAGUUUAUUAGUAGUAAACUCUAAGUGGUCUCAUGCAUAUUUUGAUAUGAGUAUGCUUAUUUUAGUGUGAGAUAUAUGAAUACUCAAAAUUAUGAUCAUCCCAAUAUUUUUGGUUCAUUAUAUAAAUAUAUUUUGUUUCAGGA